rnacentral:rRNA from 1 species
GCCUAACACAUGCAAGUCGAACGGCAGCGCGAAGGAAGCUUGCUUUCUUUGGCGGCGAGUGGCGAACGGGUGAGUAAUGUAUCGGAACGUGCCCAGUAGCGGGGGAUAACUGGCCGAAAGGUCAGCUAAUACCGCAUACGCCCUACGGGGGAAAGGGGGGGAUCGCAAGACCUCUCACUAUUGGAGCGGCCGAUAUCGGAUUAGCUAGUUGGUGGGGUAAAGGCCUACCAAGGCGACGAUCCGUAGCUGGUUUGAGAGGACGACCAGCCACACUGGGACUGAGACACGGCCCAGACUCCUACGGGAGGCAGCAGUGGGGAAUUUUGGACAAUGGGGGGAACCCUGAUCCAGCCAUCCCGCGUGUGCGAUGAAGGCCUUCGGGUUGUAAAGCACUUUUGGCAGGGAAGAAACGGCCCGGGAUAAUACCCUGGGCUAAUGACGGUACCUGCAGAAUAAGCACCGGCUAACUACGUGCCAGCAGCCGCGGUAAUAC